CGACUGAUCAGAAGAAGUAGAAACCUGGGAAGAAAACACGACAGUUCGCGUCAAUAGUAAGAGAGGUGUUGAACGGAAGCAGAGCUCUGGAGCGUGAGGACAGACAGUGGCUGUAAUGAUGGACGUGUGCUGAAGGACAGGACUCAUUUUCAAUGAUGCCACCCUUCCUUUUUCGUGUUCAGACUGAAGUACGUUAA